rnacentral:misc_RNA from 1 species
GAUGAAGAACGUAGCGAAAUGCGAUAAGUAAUGUGAAUUGCAGAAUUCAGUGAAUCAUCGAAUCUUUGAACGCACAUUGCGCCCCUUGGUAUCCCGAGGGGCUUGCCUGUUCGAGCGUCAUUUCACCACUCAAGCCUGGCUUGGUGUUGGGCGACGUCCCCUUUGGGGACGCGCCUCGAAACGCUCGGCGGCGUGGCACCGGCUUUAAGCGUAGCAGAAUCUUUCGCUUUGGAAGUCGGGGCCCCGUCUGCCGGAAGACCUACUCGCAAGGUUGACCUCGGAUCAGGCAGGGAUACCCGCUGAACUUAAGCAUAUCAAUAAGCGGAGGA